GGUGAACGCUAGCGGUGCGCCUAACACAUGCAAGUCGAGCGGUAGAAUUAUUUUAGCUUGCUAAAAUAAUUUGAGAGCGGCGAACGGGUGAGUAACACGUUGGAAUCUGCCCCCAAGUCAGGGAUAGCCAUUGGAAACGAUGAUUAAUACCGGAUGUGCUCUUCGGAGUAAAGAUUUAUCGCUUGGGGAGGAUCCUGCGUACUAUCAGCUAGUUGGUGAGGUAAUAGCUCACCAAGGCUAUGACGGUUAACUGGUCUGAGAGGAUGAUCAGUCACAAUGAAACUGAGACACGGUUCAUACUCCUACGGGAGGCAGCAGUGAGGAAUCUUCCACAAUGGACGAAAGUCUGAUGGAGCGACACCGCGUGAAGGAUGACGGUCUAACGAUUGUAAACUUCUUUUUUCUGAAGGAGCAUAAUGAGAGUACUUCAGGAAUAAGGGACGGCUAAAUACGUGCCAGC
rnacentral:rRNA from 1 species